UGGUUCUUUUGACCAUUUCCUCAGAGAUUGUCCAGAAAGAGGUGAAAAAGAAGCUGAAUAGAUAUCGAAGCCGAGUAAUCCAGUUUCGAGAGGUAGACCACCUCGACUAUCUGGUAAUGUCAGUGGUAGCCAAGGAGCUACGAAAGAUAUUGCAGGCAGGUAUGAAGCACGAGCACCUACUAGGACAUAUGCCAUUCGUGCCAGAGAAGAUGCCUCAGCACCUGAUAUUAUUACUGAUUAACGUGAGAUUGGAGGAUUAGAUCAACACAUCCGGCCACACUAUUCAGAUUUUCUCCAGUAGAUUUUGUAUAGUACCUUACAGUUUAUAUGGCAUGUAUAGGAUUGGAAAAGAGUUAUAUUUAAGAUAUGGGUGUGAAAGUCUUAUAUAUAUGAAUAUGUAUGUGCAUGUGCAUAUAUAUUUAGUAAUAGUUUUAGUAUUCGAUGGAUAGAAUUAAUAUAGUAUGUUUAUGCAAUUUGAGUAAUGUGUUAUAAAUUAUGCUUAAAAUAUGUUUAAAAUAUAAAUUAUUGACUUAAA